rnacentral:tRNA from 1 species
GAGGUUAUAGCUUAGUGGUAGAGUGUGUGCUUAGCAUGCAUGAGGUCCUGGGUUCAAUCCUCAGUACCUCCA